AUUGAACGCUGGCGGCAUGCCUUACACAUGCAAGUCGAACGGCAGCGGGCCUUCGGGUGCCGGCGAGUGGCGAACGGGUGAGUAAUGCAUCGGAACGUGCCAUUGAGUGGGGGAUAACGUAGCGAAAGUUGCGCUAAUACCGCAUAUUCUGUGAGCAGGAAAGCAGGGGACCGCAAGGCCUUGCGCUCUUUGAGCGGCCGACGUCAGAUUAGCUAGUUGGUGAGGUAAAGGCUUACCAAGGCGACGAUCUGUAGCGGGUCUGAGAGGAUGAUCCGCCACACUGGAACUGAGACACGGUCCAGACUCCUACGGGAGGCAGCAGUGGGGAAUUUUGGACAAUGGGGCAACCCUGAUCCAGCCAUGCCGCGUGAGUGAAGAAGGCCUUC
rnacentral:rRNA from 1 species